rnacentral:rRNA from 1 species
CCUACGGGCGGCAGCAGUGAGGAAUAUUGGUCAAUGGGCGCGAGCCUGAACCAGCCAAGUAGCGUGAAGGAUGACUGCCCUACGGGUUGUAAACUUCUUUUAUAAAGGACUAAAGUGAGGCACGUUUGCCUUUUUGUAUGUCCUUUCUGAAUAAGGAUCGGCUACCUCCUUGCCAGCAGCCGCGGUAAUACGGAGGAUCCGAGCGUUAUCCGGAUUUAUGGGGUUUAAAGGGAGAGUAGAUGGGUUGUUAAGUCAGUUGGGAAAGUUUGCGGCUCAACCGUAAAAUUGCAAUUGAUACUGGCAGUCUUGAGUACAGUUGAGGUAGGCGGAAUUCGUGGUGUAGCGGUGAAAUGCUUAGAUAGCACGAAGAACUCCGAUUGCGAAGGCAGCUUACGAAACUGCCACUGACAUUGAUGCUCGAAAGUGUGGGUAUCAAACAGGAUUAGAUACCCUAGUAGUC